rnacentral:rRNA from 1 species
UACGGGGGGAGCAAGCGUUGUUCGGAUUUACUGGGCGUAAAGGGCGCGUAGGCGGCCACCGCAAGUCAGUUGUGAAAUCUCCGGGCUUAACUCGGAAAGGUCAGCCGAUACUGCGGGGCUAGAGUGCAGAAGGGGCAACUGGAAUUCUCGGUGUAGCGGUGAAAUGCGUAGAUAUCGAGAGGAACACCUGCGGCGAAGGCGGGUUGCUGGGCUGACACUGACGCUGAUUGUGCGAAAGCUAGGGGAGCGAACGGG